rnacentral:lncRNA from 1 species
AAUGAAGAGGAGGGCGAACUUAACGCUGCACGCACCAACCCCUUCCCGGGGUCGCCAAAGAAGCCAGACUGGAGACGGCAGAGAGUAUGGGUUUGCAUGAACUGUGGCUGCUCCAUCAAGCAGGCUGAUUACUGAGGACACAUCAUCACAAACUUCGCCCGGGUGACUCAUCACCCAGAUCCCACAGAGAGAUUUAUUUAGUAUAUCUGAAGUAGAGGUUGGGAAGCUGAAUGUUGCACAAGUUCCACAAAUGAUUCUGAUGGCAGCGAGCUGUUUGAACCACUGCUGUAGACAAUAAAGAGAAGACACAGAGAUUCUAAAUGACACAUUAGUGAAGGGGCUGUAACCAGAGAUGACUGACUAGAGAGAUGCUGUUAAAUCAGUGCAUUGUCUUCAAUCGGGAAAAAUUCAAGUGUUAAAGUGCAUCAGUCACCCUCCUACUUCCCUGCUCUUCCAUCGGCAUGGGUGCUCUCUUCGUGGCUCCCCACUUCCACACAUCAGCUUGAUGAACUCUCUAUAUCAUCCUCCAUGUAUCAGCACAUGACAAGCCUCCUGAGUUUUCUGUCAGCACCCUAUCCCAGGACAGAGCAUUCCAGGAGCAGUGUCAGAUCAACGUAGCUCAUGCACAGCAGCAGGUGGACCAGAUGCUGAACAUUACAUUGGCAAAAUAACAAGGCAAAAUUCUCCUUGCAAGCUCCUUUCCCUCCUUGUCUUCCUCCCACACAUAAAAAUUGGUGAUAACAGAAAAAGAGAGAGAGGCUGGGACAGACUACAGUUAUGUGACACUACGUUGUUGUUUAAUGUAUUUGACCUCGUUUUGUUUAUGUAUUAACUUCUGUCACAGCAUUAUAUGUGGUAAAUAGCUGGCAGUAGGUGUCUCCAUGACGUCUCUAAA